rnacentral:lncRNA from 13 species
UAACGGGGUCACGCUCGUUAGGGAGUGAGCUACGCUAAGAAGAGAAACGCAUCAGGAGGCUUGAUAGUGCCUUCAUCAUAUCAUUUUUAUUUACCAAAUUACACCCUAUUCCCUGUUUAGUGCACUACAGUUCACCACUGUCCUAUGGGGCCCUGGUAAAAAAUAAAAAAAGUAGUGCACUACAUAGGGAAUAGGGUGCGAUUUGGGAUGUAUAUUUAUACAAGACUCCUAAGCCACUUUGUGAUAUCCGAUGUAAUUUUCCCCUUAUUUUUCUGAAUAUUGUGCUCAUUCGACACAAUUAUCUGUUCUGCCAGUAUACCUAUUUUUCUUUUUCAUAUCAAUUUCUUAUUGUAAACAACCUAAAACAUUUAAAAUAAAUACUGAACUGUUUCACAGUCUCCGCUGGUCUUCUGUUUUCAAGUGUAAACACUCGGUUAAUUAAAGACAUCCUUUUGUUGGAAGUUUUCCUGUUUUGAUAAGCAAUAUUCCAUGAAUAAAAACAGAGUUCAAGGGUAAAAACCAAAUUACAGCUGUAAAACCAUUGUGUUGGGAGAAGUUCAUCCUAGCCGUCCAUCAUGUUUACGUUUAUGUAAUGCAUGUUUGUCUUUAGCUCACUUACCUGAGAGAUACUUCUCAAUGUUUUCUGUCUUUUUACGUUGACUCUUUCACUGUUGAAUUUACAACAAGGAUAUGCUAAAAGCUGGAAGUCAUUCUUGUUGUUUCAGCCUUUCUCCAGGUGCAGAAAAAGACCCGGUCAAAAAGUGGCAUUGUCUUUUUUUUUUUAAACCCCACUUGUUUUGAACAGAUUGACGUCAUGAUGUAAAGAAAAUCCAACAGCAAGCUAGCUAGUAAAUAACAGUCAGUCAGUGCCUCUUCCUCUGUGGUGCUGUAGAAGUGAUGCUGUCAGUCAAAUAACUCUAAAUCAUAAGCUUAAAGAGAGGAUGCUGCACUAGAAAUGUGACAGAACAACAGCUAAUAAUAAGGGAGGAUGCUGCACUGGAAAUGUGACAGAACAACAGCUAAUAAGAAGAGGAUGCUGCACUGGAAAUGUGGCAGAACAACUGUAAUAAGGGAGGAUGCUGCACUGGAAAUGGGACAGAACAACAACUGUAACGAGAGGAUGCUGGACUGGAAAUGUGACAGAACAACUGUAAUAAGGGAGGAUGCUGCACUGGAAAUGUGACCUCAACUGUAAUGAGAGCCUUAUUUAAUCACUAUGGAAACAGUAGCCGUCCUAUAAAUUCACACCAAUGGCAUAGGAAAUAAAGCUUAACAAGUCUGACCUUUAACAGUUUAUAGAAGAGGCAAACCAUAGGACUCUUAUUAACAAUGGCCUUGAAUAUUAUCAGUAUGAUCUGUGUAAGAUGGUCUCCUGAAGAUGAGAUUGGUGACACCUCUUGCACAGUCUGUGCCACCCUCAGGGGAUAGACGUAAGGUGAAUUUGUCACUAGAUACUGAUCUUGGGUCAGUUUAGCAUUUUCCACACGAAUGGUUAAGGUUUUGGAUUGUGGGAGGGGGAAACUGAUCCUAGAUCUGUACCUAGGGGACUACCUAACUUCACCCAGCUUUGGGAAACGUGCCAGUGGUCCCUACUCCUCAGGCCUUUCACGAUCCAACAGUCCCCGUCCAACACAGAGGCCCCAACCAAUUUGAUACGCCCACUGUGUGGCCAGCAACACAUGCCUGCAUCCCAAAUGGCUCCCUAUUCCCUACAUAGUUCACUACUUUGACCAGGGCCCUAUGGAACCCUAUUCCCUAUAUAGUUCACUACUUUUGACCAGGGCUCUAUGGGUAAAGUAGUGCACUGCAUUAGGAAUAGAGUGCCAUUUGUGUGUGUGUGUGUGUGGUGGGGGGUAGAACAGUCACAAGGAGAGCCAGAGCAGCCGUCUCAGAAAAUAGAAACUCAAUUACCAGUUUAGCUGUAGGCAACAUGGCGUGUUGGUUGUGUUCAUUAACUACAUCCAAUAAGAUAAUUACUGCUUCUCAAUUAAAAACACUGUCUCUCUCUCUCUCUCUCUCUCUACAGUGUAUCGAUGUCAGCUGAUGAGUUCUCUGAAGGGUAAUAGGGGAAUGGAAAACUACACUAAGUGAAUGUUUCCACUGUGGGUUUUUUAUGUUGCUGAUUUGUGUUUUUACUUGGAGUGUUUUAUUAUUUCUGUGUUUUUAAAAGAUGGAUUGUUUGUUUUUUUGUGUGUGAUUUUAAUGAUAGUGAUAUUAAAUCUACCAGUUUUUGCUAUUUAGCUUUUAAAUGUUUUUUUUUAAUAACAAACCCUUGUUUUUGUUUUAUAUAAUCCUAAAAUAACACCCNNNNNNNNNNCCCCCCCCCACCCCCUUCAACGGUCACAGAUGAAUAGGAGUAAUAGCCUUCUUGGACAGCCUUCUCUUAUUUAAUCAAUCUGAAUUCUGUGAAUAGCCACAAUUGUUCUGGUUAGUUGAUUUGAUUCUGUGUGCUGAGAUUUUAAUGGUGUUUCACUGUUCCAUUUUAAAAAGGCCUUUGGUUGACUGUAGUCUUAGCGCCACUAGAGGGCGCUAAGAAACCACUGAACCACUACACGACCCUGUUCAUUCUCUAAGCAAGUCGGUCUGCUUUCCCUGGGACUUGUUCACUGGUCUGUUAACCAGCAGACCUCAUUAAUGCACCUGUACAGAGCAGAGCCAAAUGGAACAAACGAAUAGGGUAUCACCAUUAAGAAUACAGAUUGAGCCAUUACGGCUCAAUUGGUUCU